GCCCAGGUGGUGGAAUUGGUAUACACACACGUUUGAGGGGCGUGGGCCUUUUGGCCGUGCGGGUUCGAGUCCCGCCCUGGGCACAA
rnacentral:tRNA from 1 species